rnacentral:rRNA from 1 species
GAAUUCGCCCUUAGAGUUUGAUCCUGGCUCAGGACGAACGCUGGCGGCGCGCCUAACACAUGCAAGUCGAACGGGACUAUGCUGGAAGAAGUUUUCGGAUGGAUUUUGGUAUAGUUUAGUGGCGGACGGGUGAGUAACACGUGAGCAACCUGCCUUCGAGAGGGGAAUAACGGCUGGAAACGGUCGCUAAUACCGCAUAAUAUACAGGAGGGACAUCCCUUUUGUAUCAAAGAUUUAUCGCUCGAAGAUGGGCUCGCGUCCAAUUAGGUAGAUGGUGAGGUAACGGCCCACCAAGCCGACGAUCGGUAGCCGGACUGAGAGGUUGAACGGCCACAUUGGGACUGAGACACGGCCCAGACUCCUACGGGAGGCAGCAGUGGGGGAUAUUGCACAAUGGGGGAAACCCUGAUGCAGCGACGCCGCGUGUGGGAAGACGGUCCUCUGGAUUGUAAACCACUGUCCCCAGGGACGAAGAUGACGGUACCUGGGGAGGAAGCUCCGGCUAACUACGUGCCAGCAGCCGCGGUAAUACGUAGGGAGCAAGCGUUGUCCGGAAUUACUGGGUGUAAAGGGAGCGUAGGCGGGAUGGCAAGUUGGGUGUUAAAUCUACCGGCUCAACUGGUAGUCGCACUCAAAACUGCUAUUCUUGAGUGAAGUAGAGGCAGGCGGAAUUCCUAGUGUAGCGGUGAAAUGCGUAGAUAUUAGGAGGAACACCAGUGGCGAAGGCGGCCUGCUGGGCUUUUACUGACGCUGAGGCUCGAAAGUGUGGGGAGCAAACAGGAUUAGAUACCCUGGUAGUCCACACCGUAAACGAUGAUUACUAGGUGUGGGGGGUCUGACCCCCUCCGUGCCGGAGCAAACGCAAUAAGUAAUCCACCUGGGGAGUACGGCCGCAAGGUUGAAACUCAAAGGAAUUGACGGGGGCCCGCACAAGCAGUGGAGUAUGUGGUUUAAUUCGAAGCAACGCGAAGAACCUUACCAGGUCUUGACAUCGUGUGCAUAGCCUAGAGAUAGGUGAAGUCCUUCGGGACACACAGACAGGUGGUGCAUGGUUGUCGUCAGCUCGUGUCGUGAGAUGUUGGGUUAAGUCCCGCAACGAGCGCAACCCUUGUAUUUAGUUGCUACGCAAGAGCACUCUAGAUAGACUGCCGUUGACAAAACGGAGGAAGGUGGGGAUGACGUCAAAUCAUCAUGCCCCUUACGACCUGGGCCACACACGUACUACAAUGGCGCACAACAGAGGGAAGCAAGACAGCGAUGUGGAGCAAACCCCUAAAAUGCGUCCCAGUUCAGAUUGCAGGCUGCAACCCGCCUGCAUGAAGUCGGAAUUGCUAGUAAUCGCGGAUCAGCAUGCCGCGGUGAAUA